rnacentral:rRNA from 1 species
UGGGGAAUAUUGGACAAUGGGCGAAAGCCUGAUCCAGCCAUGCCGCGUGUGUGAAGAAGGUCUUCGGAUUGUAAAGCACUUUAAGUUGGGAGGAAGGGCAGUAAGCGAAUACCUUGCUGUUUUGACGUUACCGACAGAAUAAGCACCGGCUAACUCUGUGCCAGCAGCCGCGGUAAUACAGAGGGUGCGAGCGUUAAUCGGAUUUACUGGGCGUAAAGCGUGCGUAGGCGGCUAAUUGAGUCGGAUGUGAAAUCCCCGAGCUUAACUUGGGAAUUGCAUUCGAUACUGGUUAGCUAGAGUGUGGGAGAGGAUGGUAGAAUUCCAGGUGAAGCGGUGAAAUGCGUAGAGAUCUGGAGGAAUACCGAUGGCGAAGGCAGCCAUCUGGCCUAACACUGACGCUGAGGUACGAAAGCAUGGGGAGCAAACAGG